UAGUUGUCAUGUCAAAAAACUACUUAGACAGACUAUGAAGAGAUACAUAGGGUGAGAAACGGAGGCCUUCAGCCAACAGCUGGGAGAAGCUGAGUCCCAUCAGCCAUUCAAAAGACUGCAGCCCCAGCCAAGAGUUUGAUGUAACCUCAGGAGAGACCCUGAGCCAGAACCACCUAGAAAAGCUGGGAUACAUGAAGACUGCCAUCCCUUGAGUCACUUGCCCUGUAGCUGCCACUGUUGGAAAAGGGCUUGCUUCUGUGUCCUUGUGCCCACUUUGAAAAUCCCUGGGAAGUCCUUGGAGUCAGAUGAGCAGGCCUCCGCCACUCUGCCAAAAAGUCUGUUCACACAAAUGGGCACUCAACAUCAAUGAAGUAACAGCAAAGUCACAUAAUAAAAGCAUGGAAUUAAGACAAGCUGAAGAUUCGGAUGCAAUAAAACAACCACCCAUUAUUA
rnacentral:lncRNA from 1 species